rnacentral:rRNA from 1 species
GGGGAGUGAAAUAGAACCUGAAACCGUGUACGUACAAGCAGUAGGAGCAGGCUUUGUCCUGUGACUGCGUACCUUUUGUAUAAUGGGUCAGCGACUUAUAUUCAGUGGCAAGGUUAACCAUCUAGGGGAGCCGUAGGGAAACCGAGUCUUAACUGGGCGUUCAGUCUCUGGAUAUAGACCCGAAACCAGGUGAUCUAGCCAUGGGCAGGUUGAAGGUUGAGUAACAUCAACUGGAGGACCGAACCGACUAAUGUUGAAAAAUUAGCGGAUGACUUGUGGCUAGGGGUGAAAGGCCAAUCAAACCUGGAGAUAGCUGGUUCUCCCCGAAAGCUAUUUAGGUAGCGCCUCGGACGAAUACUACUGGGGGUAGAGCACUGUUAAGGCUAGGGGGUCAUCCCGACUUACCAACCCUUUGCAAACUCCGAAUACCAGUAAGUACUAUCCGGGAGACACACGGCGGGUGCUAACGUCCGUCGUGGAGAGGGAAACAACCCAGACCGCCAGCUAAGGUCCCAAAUUACUACUAAGUGGGAAACGAUGUGGGAAGGCUCAGACAGCCAGGAUGUUGGCUUAGAAGCAGCCAUCAUUUAAAGAAAGCGUAAUAGCUCACUGGUCGAGUCGGCCUGCGCGGAAGAUGUAACGGGGCUAAGUA